GAGGGAUGGCCGAGUGGUUGAAGGCGGCGGUCUUGAAAACCGUUG
rnacentral:tRNA from 1 species